rnacentral:lncRNA from 1 species
CACACCCCAUUUAAUACCCCUCCUUAGUGGGGUACACGUGUCAGCCAUCCGGUCUUCCCUGGUAAAGUGGGAGACCAACUCUGCCAAGCUUUUAAUUCCCUUCUUCGUGAUCCGUGUGGCAGCAGCAGGAAUGUGAACUUCCAGGAAGUGGAAGUCAGGUGGCACGCUGGGAGUGGGCCGAACGUUCUUAGUGGAGGCAGUAUUUAAGGUAAGAUGAAAAAUCCUGACGCCACUUUUCCCAUGCAAACUUCAUCUUCCUCAAACUUGUCUUUCUGAAAAUCUCAAAUCCUCCUCCUUCUCUCUAAAACCUCCCAACCUUCUCUCUAGAUUUCUAACCUCCAAUUCUUCUCCGAUCACUUGCAUCCGUUCAGGAUUAUUGCUGCCGGCACCAAGACCUUCAAACGGUACCAACCAGAAUUUCAUUCUGAACUGGUAAGUGUCCGAACCCU